GUGCACGCUGGCGGUAGGCCUAACCCAUGCAAGUCGCACGGCAGCACAGUAAGAGCUUGCUCUUACGGGUGGCGAGUGGCGGACGGGUGAGGAAUACAUCGGAAUCUACUUUUUCGUGGGGGAUAACGUAGGGAAACUUACGCUAAUACCGCAUACGACCUACGGGUGAAAGCAGGGGAUCUUCGGACCUUGCGCGAUUGAAUGAGCCGAUGUCGGAUUAGCUAGUUGGCGGGGUAAAGGCCCACCAAGGCGACGAUCUGUAGCUGGUCUGAGAGGAUGAUCAGCCACACUGGAACUGAGACACGGUCCAGACUCCUACGGGAGGCAGCAGUGGGGAAUAUUGGACAAUGGGCGCAAGCCUGAUCCAGCCAUACCGCGUGGGUGAAGAAGGCCUUCGGGUUGUAAAGCCCUUUUGUUGGGAAAGAAAAGCAGCAGGUUAAUACCCCGCUGUUCUGACGGUACCCAAAGAAUAAGCACCGGCUAACUUCGUG
rnacentral:rRNA from 1 species